rnacentral:rRNA from 1 species
GUGCCAGCAGCCGCGGUAAUACGUAGGGGGCGAGCGUUGUCCGGAUUCAUUGGGCGUAAAGAGCUCGUAGGCGGUUCGGUAAGUCAGGUGUGAAAACUCCAGGCUCAACUUGGAGACGCCACCUGAUACUGUCGUGACUAGAGUCCGGUAGGGGAGCAUGGAAUUCCUGGUGUAGCGGUGAAAUGCGCAGAUAUCAGGAGGAACACCAGCGGCGAAGGCGGUGCUCUGGGCCGGAACUGACGCUGAGGAGCGAAAGCGUGGGGAGCGAACAGGAUUAGAUACCCUGGUAGUCC